CAGAGAAUAGUUUAUUAAAAUAUUAAUUUUGGAGAUUAAAGAUAGGGAUUUCUUUUCUCUGA
rnacentral:tRNA from 1 species